rnacentral:rRNA from 12 species
AAGGUAGCGAAAUUCCUUGUCGGGUAAGUUCCGACCCGCACGAAAGGCGUAACGAUUUGGACACUGUCUCGGAGAGGGACUCGGCGAAAUAGACUUGUCUGUGAAGAUGCGGACUACCUGCACCUGGACAGAAAGACCCUAUGAAGCUUUACUGUAACUUGAGAUUGGUUUCGGGUUUUAUUUGCGCAGUAUAGGUGGGAGGCUAUGAAAAAGUUCUUGCGGGAGCUUUGGAGCCAUUAGUGAGAUACCACUCUUGUAAAACUAGAAAUCUAACUUUAUACCAUUAUCUGGUUAAAAGACAGUCUCAGGCGGGCAGUUUGACUGGGGCGGUCGCCUCCUAAAGAGUAACGGAGGCGCCCAAAGGUUCCCUCAGCCUGGUUGGCAAUCAGGUGUCGAGUGUAAGUGCACAAGGGAGCUUGACUGUGAGAGCGACAGCUCGAGCAGGGACGAAAGUCGGGACUAGUGAUCCGGCGGUACAUUGUGGAAUGGCCGUCGCUCAACGGAUAAAAGGUACCUCGGGGAUAACAGGCUGAUCUUGCCCAAGAGUCCAUAUCGACGGCAUUGUUUGGCACCUCGAUGUCGGCUCAUCGCAUCCUGGGGCUGGAGCAGGUCCCAAGGGUUUGGCUGUUCGCCAAUUAAAGCGGUACGUGAGCUGGGUUUAGAACGUCGUGAGACAGUUCGGUCCCUAUCCGCUGCGCGCGCAGGAAAUUUGAGAAGACCUGUCCUUAGUACGAGAGGACCGGGACGGACGAACCUCUGGUAUGGCAGUUGUACCGCCAGGUGCACCGCUGCUUCGCUACGUUCGGAAGAGAUAACCGCUGAAAGCAUCUAAGCGGGAAGCUCGCUUCGAGAUGAGAUUUCCAGACACCAUUUGGUGUGAGAGGCCCCCAGCUAGACCACUGGGUUGAUAGGCCGGAGGUGGAAGCACGAACCAACGACGUGUGCAGCCGACCGGUACUAAUAAGCCGACA